rnacentral:lncRNA from 1 species
CCUCUGCCUUCCAAGGUGCUGGGAUUACAGGCAUGAGGCACUGCGCCAGCCUUCAACCAUGUUUUCAUUUCUUUAUUUUUGAGACAUGGUCUCCAUCUGUUGCCCAGGCUAGAGUGCAGUGAUGCAAUCAUGGCUCACUGCAGCCUCUACCUUCUGGGCACAAUUGAUCCUCCACAGCCAGCUAUGGGCAGAUCAGGCCAGCACCUCCUAAACCAGCCUGUACCUCCACUUCUCUGUGCUGAUUGUACCAUUCUGGUGGGGAAAUGUUGAUAAGGGGAGAGGCUCUGCAAGUGUGGGGAAGAGGGUAUGUGGGAAAUCUCUGUAUGAAAAAAAAAAAAAGGAUACUGAGGAGUAGGGUAACAAGCUCAUACCACAACCUGAAGGGCAGGUCAGCAAAGGAACUUUACAAUCAUCCCUGCAAAAAUAGGGGAGAGGAGCUGGUAGACAAGUCCACAGGGAUCAAAGAACAAAACAUAGAUUGGUCAUUUCAAAAUUACUUUUCUUGUGGGGCAGGAACAGAAAAACAGAACAAUAGAGAAAUAACCGAUUGGUUACAUUCCAUCAUUUGUCAGAGCACCGAUGACAUCAGAGCAGCAUGGAGCCUCUGGAAAACUCCACUGGAUACUAGUGAGAGACUAAGAGUUAAAAGAACAGGCCAGGUGUGGUGGCUCAUGCCUGUAAUCCCAGCACUUUGGGAGGCUGAGGCGGGCGGAUCCUGAGGUCAGGAGUUCGAGACCAGUUUGACCAACAUGGUGAAACCCCAUCUCUACUAAAAAUACAAAAAUUAGCCAGGCAUGGUGGCACG